AUUGAACGCUGGCGGCAGGCCUAACACAUGCAAGUCGAACGAGUGGCGGACGGGUGAGUAAUGUCUGGGAAACUGCCCGAUGGAGGGGGAUAACUACUGGAAACGGUAGCUAAUACCGCAUACCAUCGGAUGUGCCCAGAUGGGAUUAGCUAGUAGGUGGGGUAACGGCUCACCUAGGCGACGAUCCCUAGCUGGUCUGAGAGGAUGACCAGCCACACUGGAACAGUGCCACGGUCCAGACUCCUACGAGAGGCAGCAUUGGGGAAUAUUGCACAAUGGGCACAAGCCUGAUGCAGCAAUUCCUCGUGUAUGAAGAAGGCCUUCGGGUUGUAAAGUACUUUCAGCGAGGAGUCGUUACUCGCAGAAGAAGCACCGGCUAACUCCGUGCCAGCAGCCGCGGUAAUUC
rnacentral:rRNA from 1 species